rnacentral:rRNA from 1 species
UGCAAGACGAACGGUAAGUAGUGUAGCAAUACAUUGCCUAGAGUGUCGUACGGGUGCGUAACACGUAUGCAACCUACCUUGUACAGGGGUAUAGCUCGGGGAAACUCGAAUUAACCCCCCAUAAUAUCAUGGUGUGGCAUCACAUUAUGAUUAAAACUUCGGUGGUACAAGAUGGGCAUGCGUUUGAUUAGUUAGUUGGCAGUGUAAAGGACUACCAAGACGAUGAUCAAUAGGGGACCUGAGAGGGUGAUCCCCCACACUGGCACUGAGAUACGGGCCAGACUCCUACGGGAGGCAGCAGUAGGGAAUAUUGGACAAUGGGUGAGAGCCUGAUCCAGCCAUGCCGCGUGCAGGAAGAAGGCGUUAUGCGUUGUAAACUGCCUUUGCCAGGGGAUAAAAUGACCGUGCGCGGUUAAUUGAAGGUACCUGGUGAAUAAGCCACGGCUAACUACGUGCCAGCAGCCGCGGUAAUACGUAGGUGGCAAGCGUUGUCCGGAUUUAUUGGGUUUAAAGGGUGCGUAGGUGGCCCUGUAAGUCAGUGGUGAAAUAUCUCAGCUUAACUGAGAGGGUGCCAUUGAUACUGCAGGGCUUGAGUACAGAUGAGGUAGGCGGAAUUGACGGUGUAGCGGUGAAAUGCAUAGAUAUCGUCAAGAACACCGAUAGCGAAGGCAGCUUACCAAGCUGUAACUGACACUGAGGCACGAAAGUGUGGGGAUCAAACAGGAUUAGAUACCCUGGUAGUCCACACUGUAAACGUUGAUGACUCGAUGUUGGCGAUACACAGCCAGCGUCCAAGAGCAAUCGUUAAGUCAUCCACCUGGGGGAGUACGCCGGCAACGGUGAAACUCAAAGGAAUUGA